GCGCCGACAGAAGAUGCCCAUCACUCAUCAACCACAGAGAUGGGGACCCCCACCCCCACCAGCCACAUUCCACGCUCCAGGCCACAGAGAGGCAGAAACCCAGGAAGGGCCUCCUGGGCACGGCUCUGGGCCUGGCGUGCCCGCUCGGCCUCAGUACGUAGCCCCCGCAGCUGCUGCUCUGCGGUGGCCAGCUGGGCCUCGGCCGCGUGCCGUUCACUCUUCAUGAAUAGCGCCUCCCGCUGCACCUGCGGCCCAAACCCAUGUGUGACCCUGAGGACGUCUGGACCCCAAAGAUGCCUGGACACCAAAGAUUCUGACCCUUCUAUUUUGGUCUGAGGCUAUUCAAGCCCGUUUGGCCUCAAGGAAUUUGAUUCAGGGAAGUUCUGGAUUUCUUUGGGCACGAUGAACAUUCUGACUCUGCCAAGCUGUGUGUCCUUAGACAAGUGACAUAAGCUCUCUGUGUCUCAAUUUGCUCAUAUGUAAAAUGAGGAUAAUAAGCGCCUCCACGUCACAGGGUGAUUGUGAGGAUAAAAUGAGAAAAUACAUGGAAUACACUUAGAAUGGUGCUUGGCACUCAGUAAGUGCUAUCUUCAAGUUUGUGAUGUUGUUUUUAGUGUUAUUAUUACAUAAUGAACGUUAUUAUCAUUAUUAUUACAAUAUAGCCAAUGUUCUUCUCUCUGCC